GUUCCUAAUAGUGUUCAGGUUCCUCAAUCUCUUCACUGGCCAGCUCUGUUGUCUUGGCUUAGACAGAACAUAAUGGAGGUGGUGUAUGACUGGGCAAAAGGCUCUAAGUUUAUGAGAUCAUGGAGAUUGCCGUGUUCUCAAAGGGAGCUUAGCUUGAAUAGAAUGACAAGGAGAAUGGAGGAAGUUCUACAAAAGCUCAUAGUAGCUGGAAAAUUUACAGGCAAGACAGCUUGAAGCUAAACUAGAAGAAGCUGUUUCCCAGAUCAAGAGAGACAUUGUUGCAGCAUUUGGUUUAUCUCCACCAAAAUUAAUGAAACAAAAGAUUUCAAUAGGAUUCACCAAGGUUUUGUUUUACCCAUUUACACUAUAAUAUCCUCUCUUUUUGUACACUUCAAAAAUAGUUACAUGCAAUCUACUUUCCAACUA